rnacentral:rRNA from 1 species
CCUACGGGGGGCAGCAGUGGGGAAUAUUGGACAAUGGGCGAAAGCCUGAUCCAGCCAUGCCGCGUGUGUGAAGAAGGCCUUCGGGUUGUAAAGCACUUUCAGUGGGGAAGAAAGCCUUGGGGCUAAUACCCUCGAGGAAGGACAUCACCCACAGAAGAAGCACCGGCUAACUCCGUGCCAGCAGCCGCGGUAAUACGGAGGGUGCGAGCGUUAAUCGGAAUUACUGGGCGUAAAGCGCGCGUAGGCGGUCUGAUAAGCCGGUUGUGAAAGCCCCGGGCUCAACCUGGGAACGGCAUCCGGAACUGUCAGGCUAGAGUGCAGGAGAGGAAGGUAGAAUUCCCGGUGUAGCGGUGAAAUGCGUAGAGAUCGGGAGGAAUACCAGUGGCGAAGGCGGCCUUCCGGACUGACACUGACGCUGAGGUGCGAAAGCGUGGGUAGCAAACAGGAUUAGAUACCCUAGUAGUC